rnacentral:rRNA from 1 species
GCUCUGUAAGUUUUCGGUUAAAUCCAUCUGCUUAACUGAUGGGCUGCCGAAAAUACUGCAGAGCUAGGAAGUGGGAGAGGUAGACGGUACUCGGUAGGAAGGGGUAAAAUCCUUUGAUCUAUUGAUGACCACCAGUGGCGAAGGCGGUCUACCAGAACACGUUCGACGGUGAGGGAUGAAAGCUGGGGGAGCAAACCGGAUUAGAUACCCGGGUAGUCCCAGCUGUAAACGAUGCAGACUCGGUGAUGCUCUGGCUUGUGGCCAGUGCAGUGCCGCAGGGAAGCCGUUAAGUUUGCCGCCUGGGAAGUACGUACGCAAGUAUGAAACUUAAAGGAAUUGGCGGGGGAGCACCACAAGGGGUGAAGCCUGCGGUUCAAUUGGAGUCAACGCCAGAAAUCUUACCCGGAGAGACAGCAGAAUGAAGGUCAAGCCGAAGACUUUACCAGACAAGCUGAGAGGUGGUGCAUGGCCGUCGCCAGCUCGUGCCGUGAGAUGUCCUGUUAAGUCAGGUAACGAGCGAGAUCCCUGCCUCUAGUUGCCACCAUUACUCUCAGGAGUAGUGGGGCGAAUUAGCGGGACCGCCGCAGUUAAUGCGGAGGAAGGAGGGGGCCACGGCAGGUCAGUAUGCCCCGAAACUCUGGGGCCACACGCGGGCUGCAAUGGUAGUGACAAUGGGUUCCUAAACCGAAAGGUGGAGGUAAUCCUCAAACGCUACCACAGUUAUGAUUGAGGGCUGCAACUCGCCCUCAUGAAUAUGGAAUCCCUAGUAACUGCGUGUCAUUAUCGCGCGGUGAAUACGUCCCUGCUCCUUGCACACACCGCCCGUA